AAUUGCCACUCCCUAUUAUUUGCCUUGUCAGUUACAACCUUGUCUCAAACUUUCUCUUUUUAGAGCACAACAGUCUUGCUGUUUAGUGUUUGUGAAACCACUAAGGGAAAUUGUAGAAGCCCAAAAUGCUUCAGCAGCUCAGUUUGCUGAAGGUCCUGUGUUCUGUCAUCUCCCUAUAACAGGUUCUGCUACCUCUGCAUUGCCUUCUUUGGCCAAUAUAGGGACCUGGAUGAUCAUGAGUUGGGUAAGGCUGGAAGAGAUGGUAAGGAUGCUGGAAGAGAGAAGAAUCUGGAGAGUUGGUAGGAGGUUGUUUAUUCCCUCUGUUAAAGGUGCAUGUCUGCCCUUUGUCAAAGAAUUCCACAACCUCCAGCUCUUGUAAUUGAGAUAAUAGUGGUGGCUAUAAGUGCUGUCUAAGAGGUUGCAGACUUUGCUGCAGGAAUCCUUUAUCAUCUGGACACAGAAUUGCUAUAAUGUUCUCAAAGCUAUCCUGGAAGAGCACUUCGGAGCUUUAGCUAGUGCAGAAUGUGGCAACCCACUUUCUUAGUACAUCAGACUGAUGUGAGCACUCUACACCUCUGCUCUCCACUCGAUUCCAGAUUGCUUCUGGUUGCAGUUCCAAGUGUCCUGAUCGGUAAGCUGUAAAUGGCCUGUAUCAUAGUUACUAGAAAGACCAUUUGUCUCUCUGUGUCCUGAUGAGAUCAGCUGAGCUACUCUUGCUCUCCGUUCCAGUGGUGCUCUUGUGGUCUGGUGUCUGGGCAGUGGAGAGUGUCCAGCUGUGGAAUUUGUUCCCUCUUCUGAUCAGUCAGAGCCUGAGUUUCAUGUCCUUCAGGGCACAGGACAGGAUGUAUUUACUUGCUGCAACUAAGAAGCUCAUUUGGUGGUAGGUGGAGGUACUUAUAGGUAGGUUAUUCUACAUUGUCCAUUGAAAGUAGUGCAGAUAUGAUUGGCACUCAGAAGGUGAGUGAUGGGCAGUUGGUAGCUGGUAUCCCUGACAAAUACUUACCUUGGAUAGCAAAGCCUGCUAAGCUCAAAUCGAGUGUCAUAAUUAGCCCUGAAUGGAGUUGUCCUUUCCUAAAAUUGGUCAUCUCCUUAAGGGCAAAGGCAUGUUUUGACAUAAUUUGCUGUGAUCUAGAGUAUUGCUGAUACUUGGGAGCCAAGACGUGGUUGCCAAAGAAAUCUCUUUGCACGUUGCAGGUCUUGGGGUAAGAAUAUGAACCAUGGGCCUCAGUAAUCCGUGAAAGUGGAUAACUGGUUCACAGAAUCAGAAAAGUAUGUUGCAUGUUCAAGUGUAUGUUUUGAGAGAGGAGAAAAGCAGGACUCACACUCCCUUCCCUCACCUCCAGAUAUACACAGGGACCUCUAAAGCCCCCCCCGGCACCCUAAUAACACUUGUCCCUGAUAUGCAGUAAUUGUCUAGUUUAAAGGUUUCAUUGAACAUUCUUAGAGCUGAUCAGAGGAAAGGGAGCAUCGAAAGGGGGAGAGGGUGUAAUUUUUUCCUUUAAUCCUUCAGAGCUCAACUGUCCUGUCUACUUGUAACAACAGAUUGCAGUCACACCUUUCCCUUGUUGUAACAAUCUGUCUCUUCCAUCCUGCAGGAGUUGUUUGUUGAAACCAUAGCUAAAGAUGCUUAUGUGUAUGCUCAGCAAGGAAAAAGGAAAACUCUGCAAAGGAAAGACUUGGAUAAUGCCAUUGAAGCUAUUGAUGAAUUUGCUUUUCUGGAAGGUACUUUGGACUGAUCUCACCAGGAAAGGAGUUACCUGAAGAAAGAGUCAGCGGAGUGGGGUGGCCCUUGGAAGACACAUGGCAUGAGAUUUUCAAAUUAAUCUAGGCAAAUUUUCGUGGAAGAUGUGUCUCUGUUCCUAGACUACUUUGGAAAUCUCAGCCAGAAUGUAUUGUAAAAAGCUUAAUUGUGAUAGUUCUUUAUUUAAAAUCCGUAUUUUUUCAUACAUUUUUGUAUGUAAUAUGACCUCCAGCUCACAUUUCAGAACCAGGCUCAGACUUUCACUGUGUAACACAGCAAUAGCUCGGAAUAGCCAUGCUGUACUAGCAUCUCCUCUAGAACUCGGUGGUAAUAAAAAGCAUAGAGGUUGGGGUGAUCCUGCCUCUGAAGUCCGAGGGUAGUUAUUUUUUUAUGGAAAUGUAUUUCUUGUAUAUGUUACUUUCUUGGCCAAAUAGAGUUAAAUGUUUCUUGACCAA